GGAGAGUACGUUCGCAAGGCUGAAACUCAAGGGAAUUGACGGGGACCCGCACAAGCGGUGGAGCAUGUGGUUUAAUUUCGAAGCAACGCGAAGAACCUUACCAACUGGUGGGCAUCCCCCUGACCGCUACAGAGAUGUACCUUCCCCUUCGGGGGCAGGGGUGACAGGUGGUGCAUGGUUGUCGUCAGCUCGUGUCGUGAGAUGUUGGGUUAAGUCCCGCAACGAGCGCAACCCUUGUCCUUAGUUGCCAGCAUUUGGUUGGGCACUCUAGGGAGACUGCCGGUGACAAACCGGAGGAAGGUGGGGAUGACGUCAAAUCAUCAUGCCCCUUAUGAGUUGGGCUACACACGUGCUACAAUGGACGGUACAAAGGGCAGCGAAGCCGCGAGGUGGAGCCAAUCCCAGAAAGCCGUUCUCAGUUCGGAUUGCAGGCUGCAACUCGCCUGCAUGAAGUCGGAAUCGCUAGUAAUCGCAGGUCAGCAUACUGCGGUGAAUACGUUCCCGGGUCUUGUACACACCGCCCGUCACACCACGAGAGUUUGCAACACCCGAAGUCGGUGAGGUAACCGUAAGGAGCCAGCCGCCGAACGCCGGUCCCGAUGU
rnacentral:rRNA from 1 species